AUUGAACUCGCUGUGAAGAUGCAGUGUACCCGCGGCAAGACGGAAAGACCCCGUGAACCUUUACUAUAGCUUGACACUGAACAUUGAGCCUUGAUGUGUAGGAUAGGUGGGAGGCUUUGAAGUGUGGACGCCAGUCUGCAUGGAGCCGACCUUGAAAUACCACCCUUUAAUGUUUGAUGUUCUAACGUGGACCCGUAAUCCGGGUUGCGGACAGUGUCUGGUGGGUAGUUUGACUGGGGCGGUCUCCUCCUAAAGAGUAACGGAGGAGCACGAAGGUUGGCUAAUCCUGGUCGGACAUCAGGAGGUUAGUGCAAUGGCAUAAGCCAGCUUGACUGCGAGCGUGACGGCGCGAGCAGGUGCGAAAGCAGGUCAUAGUGAUCCGGUGGUUCUGAAUGGAAGGGCCAUCGCUCAACGGAUAAAAGGUACUCCGGGGAUAACAGGCUGAUACCGCCCAAGAGUUCAUAUCGACGGCGGUGUUUGGCACCUCGAUGUCGGCUCAUCACAUCCUGGGGCUGAAGUAGGUCCCAAGGGUAUGGCUGUUCGCCAUUUAAAGUGGUACGCGAGCUGGGUUUAGAACGUCGUGAGACAGUUCGGUCCCUAUCUGCCGUGGGCGCUGGAGAACUGAGGGGGGCUGCUCCUAGUACGAGAGGACCGGAGUGGACGCAUCACUGGUGUUCGGGUUGUCAUGCCAAUGGCACUGCCCGGUAGCUAAAUGCGGAAGAGAUAAGUGCUGAAAGCAUCUAAGCACGAAACUUGCCCCGAGAUGAGUUCUCCCUGAGACUUAGAGUCUCCUGAAGGAACGUUGAAGACGACGACGUUGAUAGGCCGGGUGUGUAAGCGCAGCGAUGCGUUGAGCUAACCGGUACUAAUGAACCGUGAGGCUUAACCUUACAACGCCGAAG
rnacentral:rRNA from 1 species